GUCAGUAACUCAGCCCUAAAGGGACUGAGCUUGUAAGAGUAAUCGAGCAAGCUAUAGUGACCCGUCUAAGUCUUCACUGACUACGUUUUUUGAAUGAACCUAAUGGCUAAAAAUUGAAGUUAUUGGAGG
rnacentral:sRNA from 17 species